rnacentral:rRNA from 1 species
GACAGAGGGUGCAAACGUUGUUCGGAAUUACUGGGCGUAAAGCGCGUGUAGGCUGCUCUGCAAGUCGGAUGUGAAAGCCCUGGGCUCAACCUAGGAAGUGCACUCGAAACUGCAGAGCUGGAGUCCUGGAGAGGAAGGCGGAAUUCUCGGUGUAGAGGUGAAAUUCGUAGAUACCGAGAGGAACACCUGUGGCGAAGGCGGCCUUCUGGACAGUGACUGACGCUGAGACGCGAAAGCGUGGGGAGCAAACAGG